GGCAGCCGCCGCGGGAACACCGGCGGCCCGAGUGGUGAUCGUGAUUAUUGGGUCUAAAGGGUCCGUAGCCGGUUGGUCAGUCCUCCGGGAAAUCUGAUAGCUCAACUAUUAGGCUUUCGGGGGAUACUGCCAGACUUGGAACCGGGAGAGGUAAGAGGUACUACAGGGGUAGGAGUGAAAUCUUGUAAUCCCUGUGGGACCACCUGUGGCGAAGGCGUCUUACCAGAACGGGUUCGACGGUGAGGGACGAAAGCUGGGGGCACGAACCGGAUUAGAUACCCGGGUAGUCCCAGCCGUAAACGAUGCUCGCUAGGUGUCAGGCAUGGCGCGACCGUGUCUGGUGCCGCAGGGAAGCCGUGAAGCGAGCCACCUGGGAAGUACGGCCGCAAGGCUGAAACUUAAAGGAAUUGGCGGGGGAGCACAACAACGGGUGGAGCCUGCGGUUUAAUUGGACUCAACGCCGGACAACUCGCCGGGGGCGACAGCAAUAUGUAGGCCAAGCUGAAGACUUUGCCUGAAUCGCUGAGAGGAGGUGCAUGG
rnacentral:rRNA from 1 species